CCGUCCCACUCGCCUCCCCCUCCUCGUCGCCCUCCUCUCUCUCUCUCUCUCUCUCGCUAACCCCUCUCUCUCUCCAUCGCGCCGGCCGGUUCCGGCCAGCUCUGGCCCGCGCGUCUCCCCCGCGACCCCCGCCUCCUCUCCUGUCGCCGCUGCCGCAGAAGCUCGCCGCCGAUGCCGGUGACCUAGCCCGCGCGUCUCCCCCGCGACCCCCGCCUCCUCUCCUGCCGCCGCCGCCGGAGAAGCUCGCCUCUGCGCCCACAAGCCUCGGAUUCGGCGGGAUCCGGACGAGGAGGGGUGGAUGAGACGGGGGAGGAGGAGGAGGAGAGAGUGGGGGCUUCUGGGGAGGAAUAUCCCCGCCGCCUCCUCCGCUCCUGCCUCCACAAGUCAGGGGGAUGGGGCUGCUCGGGCUCAGCCUGUGGGAUGUCGACCGGACCGGCAGCGAUGGAGGAGAAGGGCCGGGCAGGUGCGUGCAGGCGGGAGAAGCUGGGGGCGCUCGUCGGUUGGGGAGAUGGCGACCACCUGAGCUUCUCCGAUUGACCUAGACAGGGCCACGACAGCAUAAGCAAGGGGUGGGGGCGAGCAACCCUCUGAAGCCACGCAUGUCUACAGAAGAAGAAUUUUGAGAAUGAGAUUGAUAAAGAUGAACAAGACCAGCCGCUUUGUCACAAGCAUGGCAGCCUGCUCAACUAUCUCCACUGCCUGCAUACAGCUGUUUCAGAACAGCGCCGACCAACCCAGGUUUAUGUUUCCUUUCCAAGGGCGUUCGAAUAUAAUUACCAUCCAUCGAUUACAGAUGUUACCAGUACUAAGUGUGUGCCUUAUUAGUUUGUUCUUUAUUACAAAGUUUGGUUGUAGAAGAACGAAACGAAGCACACAUCAGGAAGUCAUGCUCUUUCCAACAACAACAGCAAAAGCGCAUAUAAGAGAACUUGAGGAAGAAGUGAAGCUCCUCAAGAACCUUUCGCACCCCAAUAUUAUGAGGUACCUCGGGACUGUCCGUGAGGAAGACACACUGAAUAUCCUGCUGGAGUUUGUUCCUGGAGGGUCUAUCCAGUCGCUUCUUGGAAAACUCGGUUCAUUCCCGGAGGCAGUCGUUAGGAAGUAUACUAGGCAGAUUUUGCAAGGGUUGGAAUAUCUGCAUAGCAAUGCAAUAAUACAUAGAGACAUUAAGGGUGCAAACAUUCUUGUUGAUAACAAAGGCUGCAUUAAGCUUGCCAAUUUUGGGGCAUCUAAGCAAGUUGCCAAGUUGGUAUUUGCAUUAUUGUUCCUGCAUAAUCUCUUGGUAAUGAAGCGUUGUCCGGGGCGCUAUCUGGAAUACCAUCUCUUUCUAAUGAAUUUAUGUGUUAGUUGCUGCCUUCUUUCAUUAGAUAGUUCGAAUAAUAAUACAAACGUAUGGAUUUUUGUAAACUGGUAUAUGAUUCAAUGUUAUAUAUUUUGUAAACUGGUAUAUGGUUACCAGAGUCACCUUGCAUAAUUUUUUAAAGGAAGAGUGAACGCAGUCCUGAACUUGCACUAAUAUAUUGUGAUGCUCCUACGUUUUGCAGAACAAUGCAGUAAUGAUAAGAACUAGAAUUAGACUGCAUUGCAUAUAUGUAUAGGUUACCACUUCUUCGCUGUAAUUAUUUGCCAUGUAAAAGCCAAUUCACUUGUCAAAAAUAUGCUUUGAAGAUCAGUUUCUCACAAUUUGUAAUAGUGAAACUCGUGCUUCUUUGCCCAUACUAGAAAAUACACCAAUUUUUUUAUCACCUUAACUUGUCGAUGGCAUACCAUCCUAUCACAAACCCUCAAUAAUGUAUAAGUCUUUUUUUACCAGCUCUGAGAUAUGACAUAGUGAUGUCCCACAACUAAGAUUAUUACUGUGAAAAAGAACUAACCUCAUGUACUUUGGUACAGCCUUCACAUAAGAAGCUGUACACUAGAGGGAAGAACAUGAUGUGUGUGUGUGUGUUGGUGUGUGUGUGUGGGGGGGGGGGGUAAAACCCCUGGGUAUGCAUUCUUCACUUGAACAGAUUCAAUAAUUUAUCCCAAUACUCUCUUUGUAUUUUUGUCUUUGAGGGAAUCUAAGAUUUGAUGUAAAUCGGUUUUCCCUUUCAUUUCUUCGUAAAAAUUAUUUUCUGUACUAUAAUUAUUUAAUGUGGUGCAUCUCUUCUAAUAAUCUUAGCCGACCUGGUUUACUUGUUUUGAUAAGAUUGUUCCAUGGAAUCCCAGGGUCUGAUGAAUAAAGGUGCAGGACACCUCAGAACCGCCUAUGUUUGUGACAGUGCACUGGGGCUCAAGCGACAAUGAGCAGGUGGGAGGAUCGUUCAGCUGACCAAGUGCAGUAUGACGGUGAUCUCUGAACAGUUGCAAGGAGGCUAAUAACAUGUUAGCUCCUCUUAAUAUCUUGGUUGAUGCCAUCUGUCAGAUUUAGCCCACCGAGUCCCUAUUUUGCAUUUACUUUGCUUCUCUAAAGUUCUCUUCGUGCUGCAAGGAAGACGUGAGGGUUAGUUGCAUUCCUGCUGCCUUGCUUGAGAUGAAUCCAUUUGGUUCUUUUGCCUUUCAAUUCUGUAACACACCAUCGUAUCUAUUGGUAGGUGUCAUUCUGCUUCUCCUUGCAUGUCUAUUUGUGCGCUUGGGUUGCAGAUCAGGUUACUGACACAUGGGAUCGUACAGUUAUUCUAUUACUCAGGGCCCACCCUGGUGGUCAUUAUAUCCCUGGGUUAAGCAAGCUGAGCAGGUUAUGCAAGCUACUGUGUAAAAUGCGCAUGCAUCACUGCCUAAAAAAGGGUCCAGACAGCAACGACAAGUGCUUACUAUGCUCCAUUAAAGCAGCUAAGAAGAUAAUUUAGUUUGGGUGAAUUUAUUAAUUUAUUAAUUAGCUUGAAGAAGAAAAAUAUUUCAGAACGGUGCGGUCAUAGAGUUAUGUUCAGUUUGGUGCUUUGGGUCAUUCUGGAUAAGUGAUUGGGUAGCGGUUGCUGUUUACUCGCAAGGGAUGGAUUGGUGUAAGUGAGUUUAUGAAAGCCUACUGGAACUGUUUGUGGAAGUAGUUGUAUGAACAUGUUGUGUACAACUGAACUGAUCUGAUUGCUUAUCUUUGGAAAUCUUCACCUGAUGUGUUGUGCAUUGGUCUGCAUUAUAUUACUCUUGUAUUUUUAUUUCUCUUUUAUGAUAGUUUAAGGUGAAAACAGAGUAUUUAUAAUUGUGACAUGGACUACAGACUUUUCCUAA